AUGGCCGACGCGGGUCUAAGUGUAGCAUCAGUUCUUAUCAGCUUAAUAUAUGAUACGGGUUGCAUUUGGACCUCAGGUAUUGAACUUAGUUUUGCAAGUUGGUGGAGUUGGCGGAGUGCUGGGAGCCUGCUGCAACUUCGCCGCUGGUCGGCCGGUAUUGCGCUAUCUUCGGUAUCAGCCUAUGUAUG